rnacentral:rRNA from 1 species
UACGGGGGGAGCAAGCGUUGUUCGGAUUUACUGGGCGUAAAGGGCGCGUAGGCGGUCAGCACAAGUCAGUUGUGAAAUCUCCGGGCUUAACUCGGAAAGGUCAACUGAUACUGUGCGACUAGAGUGCGGAAGGGGCAACUGGAAUUCUCGGUGUAGCGGUGAAAUGCGUAGAUAUCGGGAGGAACACCAGUGGCGAAGGCGGCUUCCUGGCCUGUUCUUGACGCUGAGGCGCGAAAGCUAGGGGAGCAAACGGG